GUUGAGACAUCUCAUACGGAUAUUGAGUCCGAAUCAGUGCACUCGUGGAGUGCUGUCCGGUAAGUUGCCGAGGCUUAUUGGGAACUAAAGAGGAAUCGAGGUCGAUCCUGCAAAAAAAAAAGAAAAAAAAAGAAAAAAAAAGAAAGAAAGAAAAGUAAAAAAAAACACAAUGCAAGAAAUGCCUGAACCGAAAAAGAGAUCAAACGGUCAGGUAGGAUAAUGAUUGCCAAGGGGCAUUUGAAAAACAAAAAGAAUAAGUUGCAGGAUCC
rnacentral:lncRNA from 1 species